UACGUAGGGGGCUAGCGUUGUCCGGAAUCAUUGGGCGUAAAGCGCGUGUAGGCGGCCCGGUAAGUCCGCUGUGAAAGUCGGGGGCUCAACCCUCGAAAGCCGGUGGAUACUGUCGGGCUAGAGUACGGAAGAGGCGAGUGGAAUCCCUGGUGUAGCGGUGAAAUGCGCAGAUAUCAGGAAGAACACCAAUGGCGAAGGCAGCUCUCUGGGACGGUACUGACGCUGAGACGCGAAAGCGUGGGGAGCGAACAGG
rnacentral:rRNA from 1 species